UCCAGACCGCCGUGCUCAUCGAGACCCUCACCGCCCUCGGCGCCGAGGUCCGCUGGUGCUCCUGCAACAUCUUCUCCACCCAGGACCACGCCGCCGCCGCCAUCGCCCGCGACUCGGCCGCCGUCUUCGCCUGGAAGGGCGAGACCCUCGAGGAGUACUGGUGGUGCACCGAGCGCUGCCUCGACUGGGGCGCCGGCGGCGGCCCCGACCUCAUCGUCGACGACGGCGGCGACGCCACGCUGCUCAUCCACGAGGGCGUCAAGGCCGAGGAGGAGUUCGAGAAGUCCGGCAAGGUCCCCGACCCGGAGUCCACCGACAACCCCGAGUUCAAGAUCGUCCUCACCAUCAUCCGCGACGGCCUCAAGACCGACGCCAGCAAGUACCGCAAGAUGAAGGAGAGGCUCGUCGGUGUCUCCGAGGAGACCACCACCGGCGUCAAGAGGCUCUACCAGAUGCAGGAGUCCGGCACCCUCCUCUUCCCCGCCAUCAACGUCAACGACUCCGUCACCAAGAGCAAGGUAUACCUCCUUCCCUGGUUCCCAUUUUUCCAUUUCAGAUCUGAUGCUCCGUGUCAGCGAGUUUCUACUUGCCAGUAGUUUUGUUGCAGUACAUGUUUAUGUUGUAGAUCCGAUAUUUUAAUAUUUAGAUCUCGUUGUUGCCGCUUAGGUGCUGCUUCAUGGUGAAGCAGCGGUGGAGUACUAGACUUGGAUCUGUAUCAUUGUCUUCAGGUUUAGUGUUUAUUACGCUAGUUGUGUACUAACUAAUCAUAACAUUAGUCAACAUGUCUCCUGGAUCUGAUGACCAGGGAUGGUCUAAAUAUAGAAUACUCUGCUUACAGAAUUUCACUACACUUAUUUGGGCAUGAAGAACUAUAUUAUGCACUGAAUUAUGUGAUAUGUUCUGUGUAGUUGUUUGUUUAGUUAGUGUACUAUUGCUCUGUUUCUAUCAAAAGGUAGAAUGCAAUGGCAUCUUCACCAUGCUAACAAUUACAGUACUAAUCUAUGUUGUUUUAAAAUAGCAAACACUAACCAUGUUUCUUCUCAACAGUUUGACAACCUUUACGGUUGCCGUCACUCUCUCCCUGACGGUCUCAUGAGGGCCACUGAUGUUAUGAUCGCCGGUAAGGUCGCCGUGGUCUGCGGUUAUGGUGAUGUUGGCAAGGGCUGUGCCGCCGCACUCAAGCAGGCUGGUGCCCGUGUGAUCGUGACAGAGAUCGACCCCAUCUGUGCUCUUCAGGCCCUGAUGGAGGGCAUCCAGAUCCUCACCUUGGAGGAUGUUGUCUCUGAGGCUGAUAUCUUUGUGACCACCACCGGAAACAAGGACAUCAUCAUGGUUGACCACAUGAGGAAGAUGAAGAACAACGCCAUUGUCUGCAACAUUGGUCACUUUGACAACGAGAUCGACAUGAACGGCCUUGAGACCUACCCCGGUGUCAUGCGCAUCACCAUCAAGCCCCAGACUGACCGCUGGGUCUUCCCUGAGACCAAGACCGGCAUCAUUGUU
rnacentral:lncRNA from 1 species